GUAUUUGCUUCCAGCAUAUAUAUUAACAUUGGAACAAUACAGAGAAGAUUAGCAUGGCGCCUGCACAAGGAUAACGCACAAAUUCAUGAAGUGUUCCAUAUUAAA
rnacentral:snRNA from 1 species